rnacentral:tRNA from 1 species
GGGCGGGUAGCUCAGACUGGGAGAGCACGCGGCUGAAGACCGCGGGGUCGAGAGUUCAAAUCUCUCUCCGCCCA